rnacentral:sRNA from 1 species
AAAAAAGAAACAGUCUGAAAAAAUUCAAAAAGUUAGAAAAGUUACCGCAAUGCAUUGGUCGAAUUCGUUCGAUAUUACGCCGCCAUUCCGGACUAUGUCUACGAGACGGAGAAGCUGGAGAGCUACGACACCGGCACUCUGAUAGUAAAUAUCUAGUGGAGACCACCAAGGAGGACUUUGUGAUAGCGAUGACGAUUUGAAAGAGCCGUUUGAUCAUGAGGGAUCUACGCUCAACAACAUGUCGAUAGACGAACGCGUUGUCUCGAAGAUCCGGCCCCUUCUCAGAGAACCCUUCAGCCAAACCGUGUUCUACGAUUUCAAGAGCUAUAUCGAAACCAUCGUCAGCAUGGUUCUAGAGCCGGAUCUCAAGCACAACAGGCUGGAUUCUUCAGUGGUCGGUUCCCCGGCUGAUUCCGGCGCCAGUAGCUAGUAAUCGCUGCCAUAGAGGAGGAGAAUUCAGGCGUAUACAUUUCCCCACUCACUAUCCGACAAAACUACGAGUACCUCAAUAUCAUAGCCAAACGAUGCGCCGAGGAAGAAACUGUGCGAAAUCACGGGGAGUAUUUCGCAACGCUUGCGGUGAAAUCUAAGCGGAGUAAAGGCAACCACUACAGAGCCGAUUGUUGUCGUAGUUCUCUUUUUCUAUUCGAGGCGAUUUUUCAGAACAAUUGUCUUCAAUGUUUGGGACACACUCAUUAGUGCCGUGCCCAUCCCUGACAAUUAUCUAACAGAUACAAAGUAUAAUUUUUUCAUUCAAUUUA